rnacentral:lncRNA from 13 species
UUCUCUUCCUCUCUUAUCAUCACCCAGUGCCUGGGCUUACCUCCGUUGUACCCGCACCCCACCAUACCCCUGUCUGCGCAUUAUGCCCUGAAUAUAUUCUACCAUGCCCAGAAAUCUGCUCCUGUCAUUCUUUGUCCCCAACGCUCUAGGCGACCAGUUUUGAUAGCCUUUAGCCGCACCCUCACACUACUCCUCCUCUGUUCCGCGGGUGAUGUGGAGGUAAACCCAGGCCCUGCAUGUCCCCAGGCACCCUCAUUUGUUGACUUCUGUGAUCGAAAAAGCCUUGGUUUCAUACAUGUCAACAUCAGAAGCCUCCUCCCUAAGUUUGUUUUACUCACUGCUUUAGCACACUCUGCUAACCCCGAUGUCCUUGCCGUGUCUGUAUCCUGGCUCAGGAAGGCCACCAAAAAUUCUGAGAUUUACAUCCCCAACUAUAACAUUUUCCGUCAAGAUAGAACUGCCAAAGGGGGAGGAGUUGCAGUCUACUGCAGAGAGCGCCUGCAAAGUAAUGUCAUACUUUCCAGGUCCAUACCCAAACAGUUCGAACUACUAAUUUUAAAAAUUACUCUCUCCAGAAAUAAGUCUCUCAUUGUUGCCGCCUGCUACCGACCCCCCUCAGCUCCCAGCUGUGCCCUGGACACCAUUUGUGAAUUGAUCGCCCCACAUCUAGCUUCAGAGUUUGUUCUGUUAGGUGACCUAAACUGGGAUAUGCUUAACACCCCGGCAGUCCUACAAUCUAAGCUAGAUGCCCUCAAUCUCACACAAAUCAUCAAGGAACCCACCAGGUACAACCCUAAAUCUGUAAACAAGGGCACCCUCAUAGACGUCAUCCUGACCAACUGGCCCUCCAAAUACACCUCUGCUGUCUUCAACCAGGAUCUCAGCGAUCACUGCCUCAUUGCCUGUAUCCGCUACGGAUCCGCAGUCAAACGACCACCCCUCAUCACUGUCAAACGCUCCCUAAAACACUUCUGUGAGCAGGCCUUUCUAAUCGACCUGGCCCGGGUAUCCUGGAAGGAUAUUGACCUCAUCCCGUCAGUUGAGGAUGCCUGGUCAUUCUUUAAAAGUAACUUCCUCACCAUUUUAGAUAAGCAUGCUCCGUUCAAAAAAUGCAGAACUAAGAACAGAUAUAGCACUUGGUUCACUCCAGACCUGACUGCCCUCGACCAGCACAAAAACAUCCUGUGGCGGACUGCAAUAGCAUCGAAUAGUCCCCGCGAUAUGCAACUGUUCAGGGAAGUCAGGAACCAGUCAGGAAAGCAAAGGCCAGCUUCUUCAGGCAGAAAUUUGCAUCCUGUAGCUCUAACUCCAAAAAGUUCUGGGACACUGUAA